UGCGGCGUGCUUAACACAUGCAAGUCGAGCGAAGCGAUUUAAGUGAAGUUUUCGGAUGGAUCUUAGAUUGACUGAGCGGCGGACGGGUGAGUAACGCGUGGAUAACCUGCCUCACACAGGGGGAUAACAGUUAGAAAUGACUGCUAAUACCGCAUAAGCGCACGGUACCGCAUGGUACAGUGUGAAAAACUCCGGUGGUGUGAGAUGGAUCCGCGUCUGAUUAGGUAGUUGGUGAGGUAACGGUCCACCAAGCCGACGAUCAGUAGCCGACCUGAGAGGGUGACCGGCCACAUUGGGACUGAGACACGGCCCAAACUCCUACGGGAGGCAGCAGUGGGGAAUAUUGCACAAUGGGCGAAAGCCUGAUGCAGCAACGCCGCGUGAGUGAAGAAGUAUCUCGGUAUGUAAAGCUCUAUCAGCAGGGAAGAAAAUGACGGUACCUGACUAAGAAGCCCCGGCUAACUACGUGCCAGCAGCCGCGGUAAUACGUAGGGGGCAAGCGUUAUCCGGAUUUACUGGGUGUAAAGGGAGCGCAGACGGCACUGCAAGUCUGAAGUGAAAGCCCGGGGCUCAACCCCGGGACUGCUUUGGAAACUGUAGAGCUAGAGUGCUGGAGAGGCAAGCGGAAUUCCUAGUGUAGCGGUGAAAUGCGUAGAUAUUAGGAAGAACACCAGUGGCGAAGGCGGCUUGCUGGACAGUAACUGACGUUCAGGCUCGAAAGCGUGGGGAGCAAACAGGAUUAGAUACCCUGGUAGUCCACGCCGUAAAC
rnacentral:rRNA from 1 species